UUAUUUAAUUAUCUUUUAUUUAUUAAAAAUUUGAUGCUCUCUAAUCUAUUUUAAAGGUAAUUGAGAGUUUGGAUUCAUAUGAUUCAAAUUGGACUCAAAUCGGAUCAGAUUUGAGUGAACUAGGCAAUUAGCUCUCAUUCUAGUAUGAACUACUUAUUCAUGAAGGGAUCAAAUGCAACCCUUCUAAUCAAGAGCUCAGAUUAGAAGAUAACCUACUACAUAGAACCAAGUGUGAACAUGACUUAAAAAUCAAGGGAUGAGAAGCAAUGCUCCAAGAUCCAAUGGCCAU
rnacentral:lncRNA from 1 species